AAGCAUAACAGAGUGUCGUCAAUAGUGUCAGGGACUGGUGCUUGUCCAUGGGAUUGGUCUCAAGUUGGGCCAGUUAUUGGUCGGCCAUUCCCUUUGUCUCUGCUCCAUCUUUGUCCCUGCAUUUCUUGACAGGACAAACUUCGGGUCAAAGUUUUGUGGAUGGGUUGGUGCCCAUCUACUGGGUCCUGCCAGGCUGGUACCAUAAAGGAGCAGACUCAAAUAAAGAAAAUCCACGCUCCGGUAUUCCAGCUGGCACCUGAGGCCGGCCGGCUGGAUGCAGCCCUGAGCAUCUGUGUCCCGUUGCCUUAUAGCCUCCUCCCAGCACAGGAAGUGGACUUCUGUCCAGUUCAAGUCUGAACACUAUGCUCUAGACUCUGGACCACCCCAGAGAGAUCAACCCUGUCACCCAGGUCAAUAGCUUCUUUUGGGAGGCUGGUGUCCUCUUCCUCAAUUCUCACACCAAGGCUUCAGGGAUCCUCUGCAGGUGAACCACUUCAGAGAAGAUAUAGCUGCUGGUAAAUGGCUUUGGUUUCCAGACACAAUUUUCCAACUUCACAUUCACAGAUAAACAAAACAGAAGUGAUGGUUUGUAUAUGCUUGGCCCAGGGAGUGACACUAUUAGGAGGUGUUGGAGUAUGUGUGUCACUGUGGGUGUGGGCUUAAGACCUUCACCCUAGCUGCCUGGAAGUCAGUAUUCUGCUAGAAGCUUUCAGAUGAAGAUGUAGAACUUUCAGCUCCUCCUGCACGAUGCCAGCCAGAAUCCCAACAUGUUCCACCUUGAUGAUAAUGGACUGAACCUCUGAACCUGUAAGCCAGCCCCAAUUAAAUGUUGUCCUUAUAAGAGU
rnacentral:lncRNA from 1 species